rnacentral:lncRNA from 1 species
GUACGCAUAUGAGCAGCAGCAGGUCUCCUUCCCUUGUUAAAAUUGAUACUUUGUGGAUACCCAUGGAUCCUGAAGCACUUAUCAAUUAAGUGUCCAGAUUAUUUACAGUAUCGACAGAAUAAAGGUCCUCUGGUUUGAUCAAAAUUGACUCUCUGUCUGAAAGGAGGAGGAGGAACAGACACUGUGGCCUUGUUAAAUCCAACAGGCUGUCUGUUUGUAUGUACAUUGAAAGAGACAGAGUCUGGAUCAAAGUGAGCAGAAGACUGAACUUGUCUUUGUUUCUCAUCAUUGAGGACAAUAAUAUAAACAUUGUCAAGAGAAGGAGGAGGCUGCAUCAUCAAAAGAUUACUCC